rnacentral:lncRNA from 1 species
GCGCGCUUGGGCGCAGCCUCGGAUUUCACGUCGGGCCCGACCUGGCUGUCUUUGGGGAGGAUGAAAAUCGCUUGAACCUGGGAGGCGAAGGUUGCAAUGAGCCGAGAUUGCGCCACUGCACUCCAGCCUGGGCAACAAGAGUGAAACUCCGUCUCAAAAAUGAAAAUAAAAUAAAUAAAAAUGAAACAGCCUUUUAAGAAUGCAAUUAUUAGGCAACGUCUUCAAAAGCCAUGAAAAUGUUCAUAUGCUUUGAUGCACAAAUUGCUUCUAGAAGUUCAUCUUAGGAAAUAUCCUGCUUUACUUGUAGUUUGGUAAAGUUUGGUUUAUUGCAUCCAGGCCACUUGGACAAAUGAAUUUUGUGGUAUAUGUCACAAACUAUGCUGUAGAACUGCAUUUUAUACUGUCUUAGAGACCUCUCUUUGUUCACAGAAGUUUAGAGAAUAAGUAUUUGUGGAAUGGAGAAGAAAGAAGUUCAAUUAGGGUAAAAUCACAUCUUAUCAAUGUUCUAUAGCAAUGUCAGUUACCAUUUAAUGAGUAUCGAUAAUGAUAGUGAAAUAAACGAUAUGUACUUAAAGGGCAAAACAAGAUAAAUUUUAAAGCUCGUAUUUCAAUAUCUUCAUGACAUUGAGAAAGUUUAAGGACCAGAUUUUGAAGCUCUAGAUAUCAGAAACUGGUAUCUGGGUGUAUUGGGGCAAUUCACAGGAUGUGUGGAGGAGUGGGUAUGUACCUGCCCCGUGGCUGUGUUUCUAAAUGAACUAAAAAAGAAAAAAAAAUCCCCUUUUAAAUACCCAGAAGCACUAACCCACAUUUUGAACUAAUUGACUU